rnacentral:misc_RNA from 1 species
AAGUCGUAACAAGGUUUCCGUAGGUGAACCUGCGGAAGGAUCAUUAACACGUAUCCAAACGUUAAACCCCCCUGUGAACCUUCAGUCGUACUCGUACGUCCGUUAGAAAAAGCAGCAAUCCCUGGUAAAUCAUCGCCGAACAGUUUUCGAUUCAGGGACGUCUGCAAGGAGCAUGCAUGUUGUGCGUGUACACACGGCCGACGACCGGGUCACCGGGUGCAAGCCCCCUUAUCACACCCCUGCUCUAUCUAUGGUGAUCCUGCGGGAAGUCCUGCGGUCGAACGCCGAAACCGAACAACUGUUAACAAUGGAUAUCUUGGUUCUC